rnacentral:lncRNA from 1 species
AUGCUCGUCACCCAGGUGACAGAGCAGAAGGCAAAGCGGGCCACAGGCCAAGGCGACAGCGAACCGUGCUCAGGUGCGCGCGCUAGGGGGCAGCGGAGCGAAGACCCAGGCCUCGCGGCCCCAGAACCAACCCGGACCCGGCGGCUGCGUCCGCGUGGUCGCCAGGGGGCAGAAGUGUUAGGCAACCUGAACCCACCCUCCGCACUCGGCCAGAGGCUCCAGCGCCUGGCAGGACGUUUCAGAAGUCAUUUGUUCCAUCCCUCCGCGAAGCCAGACAGAUUGACCGGCCCCCAACACCGCAGAGGGGAAAUUGAGUCACCGGGAGGAGCGGCCAGAGUCGCCGGGGGAAGGAGGGCGGACGCCAGCCCUCGGGGCCUUCCAGAUGCCGGGAGAGGGAGGGUUCUCCUGGAAAACACAGGGGGAGGGGAGGCGGCUGGCUGGGCAGGAGCUGCGCCAGACACAUGGAGAAACGCUGCCCAGGAUCAAAGGAAAUAUGACAUUUGAAA